rnacentral:miRNA from 1 species
UGAUGAUGGUGGUGGUGGUGGUGGUGAUGAUGAUGAUAUUUCACACAAUAAUGAUCAUAAUCAUCAUCAUCAUCAUCAGAUGGA